GACGAACGCUGGCGGCGUGCUUAACACAUGCAAGUCGAACGGAAAGGCCCUGCUUUUGUGGGGUGCUCGAGUGGCGAACGGGUGAGUAACACGUGAGUAACCUGCCCUUGACUUUGGGAUAACUUCAGGAAACUGGGGCUAAUACCGGAUAGGAGCUCCUGCUGCAUGGUGGGGGUUGGAAAGUUUCGGCGGUUGGGGAUGGACUCGCGGCUUAUCAGCUUGUUGGUGGGGUAGUGGCUCACCAAGGCUUUGACGGGUAGCCGGCCUGAGAGGGUGACCGGCCACAUUGGGACUGAGAUACGGCCCAGACUCCUACGGGAGGCAGCAGUGGGGAAUAUUGCACAAUGGGCGGAAGCCUGAUGCAGCAACGCCGCGUGCGGGAUGACGGCCUUCGGGUUGUAAACCGCUUUCGCCUGUGACGAAGCGUGAGUGACGGUAAUGGGUAAAGAAGCACCGGCUAACUACGU
rnacentral:rRNA from 1 species